rnacentral:rRNA from 1 species
UAAUACGUAGGGUCCAAGCGUUAUCCGGAAUCACUGGGCGUAAAGCGUGCGUAGGUGGCGCGUUAAGUGAGAUGUUAAAUCGUGUGGCUCAACCAUAUCGAUGCAUCUCAUACUGGCGUGCUAGAGGACAGCAGAGGCAAGUGGAAUUUGUAGUGUAGCAGUGAAAUGCGUAGAUAUUACAAGGAACACCAAUGGCGAAGGCAGCUUGCUGGGCUACUCCUGACACUGAGGUACGAAAGCGUGGGGAGCGAACAGGAUUAGAUACCCUGGUAGUCCACGCCGUAAACGAUGCAUACUAGUCUUAUGGGGUAUCGACCCCCUGUGAGACGCAGCUAACGCGAUAAGUAUGCCGCCUGGGAAGUACGGCCGCAAGGCUA